UUCUGAUUUUAAUUUCUUUUAUUUCUUUUAAUUCCAUUUUAUUUCUAAAAUUCAUAUCUCUUUCAUUAUUGGUCCAAAAAUUAUAGGACCAAUUUCAUUCUUCUCCUUUUAAUUUCUAUUUUCUAAAAAUGAUUUUUAAUAUUUUUUUAUUUUAUCAUUUGAUAUUUUUUAGUAAUUUUCUCUUUUCUGGUUAUUUUUAAU
rnacentral:lncRNA from 1 species